rnacentral:piRNA from 1 species
UUCCUGUGAGGGAAUCCGAGGCCACAACUU